AACUUUUAACAACGGAUCUCUUGGCUCUCGCAUCGAUGAAGAACGCAGCGAAAUGCGCUAAGUAAUGUGAAUUGCAGAAUUCAGUGAAUCAUCGAAUCUUUGAACGCACCUUGCGCUCCUUGGUAUUCCGAGGAGCAUGCCUGUUUGAGUGUCAUUAAUAUAUCAACCUUCUCUUUUUGAGUGGUUUGGAUGUGGGGGUUUGCUGGCCUCUUAAAAGGUCUUGGCUCUCCUGAAAUACAUUAGCAGAACAACCCUGUUCAUUGGUGUGAUAACUAUCUACGCUAUUGAAUGUGAAGGGCAGUUUGGCUUUCUAACAGUCCUUGGACAAGCUCAUCAUUAAUGUGACCUCAACUCAGGUAGGACUACCAGCUGAACUUAAGCAUAUCAAUAAGCGGACGCU
rnacentral:misc_RNA from 1 species